rnacentral:tRNA from 1 species
GAGCACGUGGCCUAGUGGACAGGGCGAGGGGUUCCUAACUCCUCGAUCGUGGGUUCGAAUCCCACCGUGCUCG